CUCCUAUUGAACUGAACAGAACCCCCACAUUCAACCUAUCCCCAGAUGGCUUGGAUCUGAGCGCUCAAUAUAUCCAAACAGCGCUCAGAUCCCACAAAUACGGUCAAAUCGCCAUACACACUAGGUCCAUAGUCAUGGGGCAGAAGGCUGGCAAUUAGGCUUCUCCAUAACACAGGGAAGCAGGGCAAUUUGUCAAGUAAAAU